UGGGAGGGAGGUUGUGGGGGAAUUGAGGAGGGUGGUAUGGAGGACAGUGUGGCUGAUUAUGUGAAUGAUACAUGGUGUGGACUGCAUCAUGUGGUGCACUACCCUCAACAGUGUUUUGCUAGACCCUAGGGGGUGGUCGGUGCAGUGUAGAGCUGGGCUGAGUUGAGGUGGGCCAGGUCUGGUAGAGCUGUGCUGUGCUGGGUCUGGUUGAGCUGUGCUGAGGCGGGCCUGGUCUGGUACCAUGGGAGGGAGACUGUAAGGGGAAUUGAAGAGGGCAGUGUGGCCGGCGAUGCUCCAAACUCUGCAUGGGGCCUCUUUGACUGCGUACGGCUUGGGCAUAGCUCAGUGUAUCUGUAUGCAGUUCCUUGGUAGAGGCUGGUGUGGGGGGGUCAGUGUUGCUGGCUGUUCUCCAAUCUCUGUGAGGCGCCACCAGAUGCAGGCCUAAAGGAGCGUCUGAUUUGUCUCAGGUAGUUGGUGCCUGUUCUGUUGCUCAUGUGAGGUGGACUGGCCACCCAGAGCAACAUCAUUUAACAUCCUGGCAAAGGUGGGGACUGUCUCUUUGUGGAUUGUCAUAAAGACAGUCCAGGCUGAGGGUGGGAUGGUGGGUCAGGUGUAUGUUGGGCCUUAGCACACAGUCCCGAGAGAGACUGGCAUUUACCCUCUGGAUGGUGGCAGGGUGGAAAUCUCUCUGGAGCAGGGUAGAUAUUACUAUGUUUGCGAAGGGGAAGAUGGUGGAGGCCCUUUAUAUUAUCACUCCCCUUAGUGAUGUGGCCACUCGCUCCUAUUGGACACAAGUCAUUGGUCCCUGUGUGAAUGAUGAUAUGGCUGGUGGAGACAAGCUGGGCCACAGUCAACAUCUCCAAAGCUCCCUCUGUUGUGGGGCACCAUAACUUUGACACAUUUUUAUUUGGGAAAAGUUUAUUCUCUAAUAAAAACUUUCCAUUUGAGUCCAUCAUUAAUAUAAUGUCUGGUUUUUCGUCAGGUCUAUGAAGGAUGUCAGGAGUGAUUGGAGAAUUACAGGCUGUGAGUUGAGGAUGGAGUGGUCAGUUGGGUUGUGUAUGUGGCCAGUGUUGACUGUGCUCGACAGUUCCUCUCCAAGUCUACACACUUCUAUCCUGAAAGCCUGGGUUUCCUCCUCAACAUUAUUCAAUGCACACUGCGGCUCCCAAACCUCAUCCCUAUGCUGAAGCACCAGGCUGAUCUCCUCCUCUAGAAGAUGCUGUGGUACAGCAGGUGUCCCGUGUGAGAGAGGAAUGCUCAGGGCUGUGUCUGCUGCAGGCGAGGGAGGAAGAGCGACACUGGGGACUACAUUCUAGGGCACAGAGGGAGUGGAGGCUGCUGUAGAUGGAGAAUUCCCCCGUGGCACUGUGGUUGGAGUUGACCUUCUGCAUAUAGCACCUCUAGAUGGAGCUCACUUCCUGUCCAAUCAUGACAUCACCGACCCAGACACACAUGCCAAGCUGCUUGAACUUCUCCCUGG